rnacentral:rRNA from 1 species
UAGGGAAUUUUGGGCAAUGGGCGAAAGCCUGACCCAGCAACGCCGCGUGAAGGAUGAAGUAUUUCGGUAUGUAAACUUCGAAAGAAUAGGAAGAAUAAAUGACGGUACUAUUUAUAAGGUCCGGCUAACUACGUGCCAGCAGCCGCGGUAAUACGUAGGGACCAAGCGUUGUUCGGAUUUACUGGGCGUAAAGGGCGCGUAGGCGGCAAUUCAAGUCAUCUGUGAAAUCUCCGGGCUUAACUCGGAACGGUCAGAUGAUACUGCUUUGCUAGAGUGCAGAAGGGGCAAUCGGAAUUCUUGGUGUAGCGGUGAAAUGCGUAGAUAUCAAGAGGAACACCUGAGGUGAAGACGGGUUGCUGGGCUGACACUGACGCUGAGGCGCGAAAGCCAGGGGAGCAAACGGGAUUAGAUACCCGGGUAGUCCCUGAGCGGGCUGGCAAGGCGCAU